UAAGAUCAAUUCUUAGGUGUCACAAAAAUGUCACAAAAUAUAUAUAUUGUAUGGGGUAUCGUGAUAAAUCCUGUGCGAUUUUUUAUAAAAGCAAAUAAUACUUUGUAUAAAAUUAAAUGAUACAUUACAAAUUAUAAUUUUAAUACAUGUAAACAUUUUUAAUAACAAAAAAUGAUAUUUUUCUAAAUACAAAUUACUUCAAAAAUGAUAUUUUUAUAACGCAAACAUUACUUUGUAUAAAAAAAAUAUAAAUGAUAAUUUUAAUACAUGUAGAUGACAUUUUCAAUAACAAAAAAUGAUACUUUAUCCAACUGACUGAGGCGAAAACGAGGAAAAUGGGGGAAGGGAUAAUAUUAUCCCUCCAUUUUUUGUGUGAUAAUAGUAACCCUCCUUUGUAGUGAAAGGAAGAAUGAGUAAGGAUCAAAUUAUAUUUUGUAGAAAAUUUUGUUUAUCCCUUCUUUUCCCAUGAUAAAUUUACAACUAAAAAUAACGCACCCUAAUAAUAUAUUAACACACUUACACCAAAAAGAUUAAUACUUUAAUUUUUAUCUUCAGCAAGUUAGUAUAAGGAGUUCCCUUAUACUAAUUUAGAAUGGACAAAUUAGCCUCUCUCUUUUUGAUAAAUUAACAAAUUAGCCUAUUUUCCUUGAUUCAGAUUUUAGCCUUUCCAUUCCAGCCUUAGAUCUCAACUUAUUGGACCUGCCCAAGGUAAAAACCAAUCUAUUCUAUAAUACGAUUAGGUCUUAGCCUAUGUGGCAGCCCUCAAAUCCUUUCUUUUCAAAUUCCUUAGCCUACGUGACAUAUAUAUAGAAUUCAUAUCACACGCUUAACCUAAAUUAUAUUCUCUCUUUUUACUUGGAGGCUGGAGCGCCGAAGCCGCGUCGACUACCAAUUCACUCCCAAUUCACCAAGCCGCGUUUACUGCCUCAAUCACGGUAGCACUUUCUAUGAAGGGUUCAUAAGAUUAAUUUCAAGCAAGCGGCAUUUGUGCUUCAUUCAUACCAAUCUAAUUAAUUUUUUUCAUCUACUCCUCUAAAAAUUCUCUCAAUCUCAGCCAAUCUGAUUCAUUUUUUUCAUCUACUCCCCUAAAAAUUCUCUCAAUCUCAGUGACCUUUCACUACAAUCAAGUCAGAAAUUCACUAUAAAACAUUGUCUGAAAGAUUUAUUUUUUACCAUGUUCGAUUCUUUUAUUUUAAUAACCACUGAUUUUCAAAAAAUUUCACAAAUCCGCCGCUCACCGGGUGUUGGGAACGGCCAUUCGACCGUUAUAAGGUGCGUUGUCCCAUUGUCCCGUUGUCAGAAUAGAGGUUAGGAACAGCCAGAACAGAGGUUUAGGUGGCAUACCCAUCAUGGGAAGAGAGUAUCUAUCUUUGUUGGAGCAGCAUAGGCCCCAACUCCAGUGGGAAAAGAACAACGAAGAGCAAUAUUUCUUCCUGUACAUCGACAAUCAGGACGUUAGGCACGUCAUGUUCCAUCGCUCAUGCCAAUCGCGACGUGGCUGUAGGAAGCUGCUUCUGGAAUGUUGGCAUCUCAAUCUGGGAAAUUGGUCUGGGAUUGGAGUAUUGUUCAAUAUCUUGUGAUAACCUUCUCUAACUUGUCUCAUGUUUUCAUCUAUUUUAUUUGUAAAUCUCCUCCUACUUUGAACGACUAACAAAUUUUGAUUGUGAAACUUUUGUUGUAACAAAUCUUAGUAAUUAAAUGAAGUUGAACAGUGUUAAA